CUGAUUUCCUGGACCCAUUACAGCUCCGUUCACACGUUCUGUUCAACAUUGUGUGAUCUGUGUAGAGUGCACACAGACAAUUCAAGUAGCUGGCUGCCAUCCUCCUGGUGGCUGCUGCCUUCCCCAGAAAUACUAUUUGAGGAUGAAGCAUCAUUUCAAGCAGAGAUUCUUGGGGAAAAUUGUAGCCAAUGUAAAGGUGACUGCAGUGCUUCCGUUACUGGCAGCACCUGUGGUCCUAGUCAAGCAGGGCUCACAAACAAUCAAGGUUCACAAAAUGGGAUUGUUUCCUUCUACACAGAGUGUUGCAUGUUCAGUCUCUGGCGUCUCCCAUUAAAGGCUGGCAGGGCUGGGAAAGAUAUCCCUGCCUCUGAAGAGCUGCUGCCAGGCUGAGUCGUUGAUAGUGAACUAGAGGGACCUGAUUCCAUAAAAAGCAGCUACAUGUCCAGCAUCCCUUUAGUAUUCUUUGCCUAGGAAACUCUAGUUGGUGCCUCGUUGUACAGCUUUCAGCAACCUACGUCUCUUAAAAAAAAAUUUAAAAGUG